UCCGUUGGUGAACCAGCGGAAGGACUUA
rnacentral:rRNA from 1 species